CAGCAGCCGCGGUAAUACGUAGGGUGCAAGCGUUGUCCGGAAUUACUGGGCGUAAAGAGUUCGUAGGCGGUUUGUCGCGUCGUUUGUGAAAACCAGCAGCUCAACUGCUGGCUUGCAGGCGAUACGGGCAGACUUGAGUACUGCAGGGGAGACUGGAAUUUCUGGUGUAGCGGUGAAAUGCGCAGAUAUCAGGAGGAACACCGGUGGCGAAGGCGGGUCUCUGGGCAGUAACUGACGCUGAGGAACGAAAGCGUGGGUAGCGAACAGGAUUAGAUACCCUGGUAGUCCACGCCGUANACGGUGGGCGCUAGGUGUGGGUUCCUUCCACGGAAUCCGUGCCGUAGCUAACGCAUUAAGUACUCCGCCUGGGGAGU
rnacentral:rRNA from 1 species